UCAGCGCCCUUCCUACGCACACACCUUCCCGUCAGCUCCCGUUUUCCUUCGAUCUUGGCAACCAAAGAGGCGUUGGCCCCUUGGAUUCUCCCCUCCGAUCCGUAAAGAGUCUUUUCGGCUUCAUGAUCAACCAGUGGGAAAUCAAGAGGCCUCCAUCUUGGCACCAUUCCUCUUCCGAUUGUCUCCGAGUUGGAAUAUAGUAUAUAGUAGAUCUUCCUCUCCAAGCCGCCCCCAAAAUCAAAGCAAUCUCUUUCAAUUAUCUCUCCUCUUAUGGUGACUUCCCUCAAACCCUCUCGCUCUCAAUCAUAAAUCUUGGCGAAAAAAGGCAUCUCGAGAGGAGGCUUCCAGCGGCCGAACUUGUUGUUCUCUCUCGCCUCCGCCAGCCGUUCUUGGCGGAUGGACAUGGGAGAGAUGGUAGAGGUGGCGCGCUACUGGAGAUUGUAGAUCUGUGUCUAUAAUUUCUUCGGGCGGCGCAUCUCAGGUGGAGGGUAUGCUGCAAAGGAAUAAAGCCCUCUGAGUCCAUCCUGUCGUGGUCGUGUGGUGAUCCGACGAGGUCAUGGAUUCUGGUAGGGUUUGCUUCUUCAUGCUGGUGCGGUUAGCUGUUUGCGGGUCGGCUUCGACGAUGAAGGUCUAUGGUGAAGUCGGAGUCGCCCGUUCAGAGGUAGCCGGUGAUGACGAUGACACUUGCGACUGCUCGACGGAUGUCUUUCCCUCUUUGUAGCUCUGUGAUCCCAUGUCGGUGGCCAGGUUGGCCGGUGGUACCCACUUUAUGUGGGUUGGUUGUAUCGGUUUUAGCCCGGUUUUCCGUCAAUUAACCAGGUGAUCGUUGGGAGGUGACUGCUGGGCCAGAGGAGCGUGUGGUUGGGUCGGCGCCCGGGCUAUUUUCAUGAACUUGAAAAUGUCCUCCUUUGCUCCGGUGAUUCUUGCGGCUUGAUUUUUUCUUUUUGACAGUGCUCCUCUUUUUCACAGUGUCAACCUAUGUCCCUGCUCAGACAUGCGCACUGGCGACAUAGAAGCUUGACGAGGCGCGGUGCGGCAAACUUGGUUGAGGCAGAGCUUUCCAGUGAUUGGAUUGUAGGGUGCAUUUUUUGCUCUGUGCGAAUGGCUUGGACAGUUGUCCUUCGUGGUACGCCGUAU